rnacentral:rRNA from 1 species
GACGAACCGUGCGAACGUUGUUCGGAAUCACUGGGCGUAAAGGGCGCGUAGGCGGGAUGGCAAGUCGGUCGUGAAAUCCUUCGGCCCAACCGAAGAACGUCGGCCGAUACUGCCGUUCUUGAGGGAUGCAGAGGAGACUGGAAUUCCCGGUGUAGCGGUGAAAUGUGUAGAGAUCGGGAGGAACACCGGUGGCGAAGGCGGGUCUCUGGGCAUUUCCUGACGCUGAGGCGCGAAAGCGUGGGGAGCAAACGGG